CCCCUACUCGCGGCCUCAAGUCGCUGUACUUGGUGGGGUGCGAGUGGUGUUCGGGAUUCAUGUUCUCAUAGCGGGCGCAGGCGGUUUGGUUAGACCGGCGUGAAAUCCCCGCGCUUAACCUGGGAACUGACGUUGUGACUGCAAGACUAGAGUACGGCAGAGGGGGGGGGAAUUCCACGUGUAGCACUGAACUGCGUAGAGAUGUGGAGGAACACCAAUGGCGAAGGCAGCCCCCUGGGUCGAUACUGACGCUCAUGCACGAAAGCGUGGGUAGCAAACAGGAUUAGAUACCCGGGUAGUC
rnacentral:rRNA from 1 species